UACGGAAGGCAGCAGUGGGGAAUAUUGGACAAUGGGCGCAAGCCUGAUCCAGCCAUGCCGCGUGUGUGAAGAAGGCCUUUUGGUUGUAAAGCACUUUAAGCGAGGAGGAGGCUCUCUUAGUUAAUACCUAAGAUGAGUGGACGUUACUCGCAGAAUAAGCACCGGCUAACUCUGUGCCAGCAGCCGCGGUAAUACAGAGGGUGCGAGCGUUAAUCGGAUUUUACUGGGCGUAAAGCGUGCGUAGGCGGCUUUUUUAAGUCGGAUGUGAAAUCCCCGAGCUUAACUUGGGAAUUGCAUUCGAUACUGGGAAGCUAGAGUAUGGGAGAGGAUGGUAGAAUUCCAGGUGUAGCGGUGAAAUGCGUAGAGAUCUGGAGGAAUACCGAUGGGCGAAGGGCAGCCAUCGUGGGCCUAAUACUGACGCUGAGGUACGAAAGCAUGGGGA
rnacentral:rRNA from 1 species